UACAUUAAUAUAUUUAUUUAUCAUUUAUAAAAUGAAAAAAAAAUUAUCUUAUUUUUAUCUAUUAUAUUAUCAUAAGCAAAUUAAAAAAGUAUUAUAUUGAGCUAAAUAUGAUAAAAUUGUAUUAAAUUGAUAAUUUUUUAUAUUUUAUUUUCAUAAGUAUAAAAUAUUUAUCUUCAAAAAUAAAAAUAUAAUUCGUUGGUAAGAUGGGCUAACAUUAGCAAAAUUAACAUGUAUUUUAUUUGAUUCAUUGUAACUACUUUAAUCAUGAUAUCUUUUCAUUUAAAAUAUAAAUAUAUAUAUAUAUAUAUAUAUAUAUUUAUAUAUAUAUAUUUAUAUAUUAUAUUUUAAAACUCUAAUAAAUAUAUUGAAAUAUAUUUUUUAAAUACCUUAAUUUUCAAAACAAAUUAUAUAAAUAUUUUCACUAAUUUUCUGAUUAGCGAUGAACUAUUAUUAUGCAUUAAUACAUAUUAAGUUGUCGUUUAUAAAAUAAAAAAUUAAACUAUAUUUUCUUUUAUCUACUUUAUAAUCAUAUUCAUCAUGUUAAAAUACAAUUAUUAUUUUGAAAAAAAAUAUGAUAAAAGUAUAUUAAUUUGAUAAAUUUAUAAAUUUUAUUUUCUCAAAUAUAAACAAUUUAUGCUAAAAAUAUAAUAUGAUGACAAAACGGCUUAAAAUUAGAAAACUAUAUAAUACAUGUCUAAAAUUAACAUAUCUUAGAUUUUUUAUAUACAAUAAUAUAUUAUCUAAAAUAAAUAAGCAUAAAAGAUAUUGGUAAAAGAAAAUUUUGCUUUGAAAUGCGGGUUAGAAUUGAACAUAAAUUAAAUACAAAAUAGUUUUAAAAUAUGUUUUCUGAAAAAUAUAGUAAUAUGUUUAAUAAGUAAAUGAAAAUACAGUAAGAUAAAUAUAUAAUAAAAAACGACAAAUACAUAUGACAGUUUUAAAUAAUUUAUUAAUUAUAACAUGUAUAUUAUAAAUUGUUGUAUUUUAAAUAGUUAUAUAACUUAUAAGUAUAUGAAACAUUAAAAUAUACCAUUAAUAAUCUAAAACAAAUAUAUAUAUAAUAUAUAUAUAUAUAUAUAUAUAUAUAUAUAUAUAUAUAUAAGUGAUAACAAUACAUGCGCGGUUGCGUGGAUCAAGAUCUAGUAUUAGAUUUAAAACCCUUAACUCAAUUUGAAAUAUGAAUGUGAGUAUUUUGACUUGAAGAAAUAUACAUUUUAAAAUUAUUAUUUAACUACAAAAUUAAAACCGAACAUACCAAAUAUAAUAUUUUAUACCAUACUUUUUAACCUUUUUUUAUAAAACAAUUUUUUAAGUAUGUAUGAUUGACUCAUUAAAAAAAUUAUAUUAAAAUUGUUUUAGCACUUUCCUUCACUUCGUUUGAAUGCAACUAUACUUUUUUUUUGGCUCAACAACAAUUUUUCAUUAUCCAAAUGUGAUUACAUGAUUACAACCUUAUGAGAUUUUAAACCCAACACUAGAUCUUGAUCCGUGCGAACAACCCAACACUAGAUCUUGACAUGUGCGUUCGCACGGGUGUUUUAUUCAUUUUUGAUGUAAUAAAAUUAUAAAUGAUCAAAAGUUUUAAAUGUUCCAAUAUAUGUUUUUUAUUCAUAUUGAUCUAUUUUCAUUGACAAAAAAUUAUUUUAUUGAUGUAGUAUUUGCUUUAAUAAAUUAUUAAACUUAAACCUAAAUUUAUUAUUUUUGACCCUUAUACCUAAAUUGCUUUGGUUAUGGUUAGAUAGAAAUAAAUGGUGUGGUGUGUUGAUUUUGUUAGAUAAAUGUCUACUCCGACAGCUUGGUGUAAUCAAUGCCUUGUAGGAUUCUUGAAUCUAUAAAAAACGCGUUCUUUCUCUUCUCACUUCCCCACUUUUCUUCUUUCAUUUCUCUCUUUCUUUUAUUUGCAGCUUGAGCUUGCCAUUGUGAUCUUUGCUUCUCCACUUGGUUAACUCUUCAAGCUUCUGGGUUUACCAGCUAAUUAAUAUACGUCAAGUUUAAUGUUGAUGGUUAACCAAUAACUAAAGCUGACUCUACCUCUCUGCAAUGGACAACUACAUCAAACAUUCCAUACCUACUUUGAUGAAUCAUAUGUUCACCAAGGUUAGUUAGCUGAGAUCAGGAACCAAUGGUCUCUUACUUAACGUGAAAGUCAUCACUCAAGAAGAUGGUGAUGCAGAUAGUACAUGUGUAUAAAUAUUUUCUUUUGUAAAUGACCAUGUAUGUAAUGCAUAUAAGGAAUGUGUACACGUGGAUAUUGUAAAAAUGUUGUACAUGAGGGUCUUAGAACAUUUUGUGUACAUGUAGAUAUUCUUUUGACUGUACAUAUGUGAAAAUAAAUAGAAAAUGGAUCAACGGAUUUGUAAGUCUCUACACCGAUAAUUAUAUUUCUUGUACCUCACACGUGAAUAUUUUGUAUGUUCCUUUGUUGACCUCUAUUUGUGUAGGAAUAUACACACAACAUUUGAUUAUAACUAAAAUUUCAUGUUUGCGUCUAGACACCUUUGUUGGAAAUGUUCUGAUAUGCUCAUGAUAAAAAAAAAUGUUUUACUAUAACCAUGUACAAUGUGUAUAAAAUGGAAAGGAAGUGUUCUUAUGGAUUUAGUAGACAAGCACUAAGCUAAAAAAGCUGAUGAAUCUGAACAAAGUUCUUAUCAUGUAUGCACGAGGCUCUAUAAUCGUGUGAUAUGUGUAUAGGAUGGAGAAACGAGACUGGCUAAUUAGGUGUACAUGUAAUUUUUUGUUAAACGAUGUACAUGUGGAUGUUUAUAGAACAGUAUACACGUCAAUCGUGUACAUGUGGAUAGUCAAAAUUAUGUGUACACAUAGAUACCCAAACUACACUCUUGCAAAAUUUAUACUUACACAUUUUAUACACACCUUUAAACGAAAUUGAAUACUAAUAAAGGAAUUUUGGAUAUCUAUGAAUCCAAAAAUUCUUGUAAAUACAAUUAAACAAAAUUGUGAUUUUAAUGGAAGAUUAAAACAUUGGCUAAUUUAGCGUGGGAACACCAAAAUCACACAUAGGGUCGUGUCAUCUUUGAACCUGACAGAACCCAGAGAACUUCCGCCGCACUUUGUCGAAGAGUUGUCGCAGUCUUGUCCCAAUCCCUCAUGAUUCACGUCGUCUGCCUUCAGUCAUGGCUGAGACGGAGAUUGAGCCGUAGCGGAGUAACAUUGGGUCUUUUUGACACUGUCUGUUCGCCUUCGUUUGUCUAUAUCGUUCAGGGUCGUGUCGGUUUCUGGUCUUUUCUCAUGGUGGUUCUUGCAGGAGAAGGAAAGUGGAAAUGGAGAAGAUUGAGCUUUAGGGAUUAUAAGUAUCAUUACUUCUUUUGUUUGGCUAGAAAUCGAUAAAGUGACAACAGUAUGAGUUUUUUUAUUUUAAAAAAUAAAAUAAAAAAGAAACUAAAGUUAGACACAUAAACCAAGACUAGUGGAAAAAGUUAGAAAGAUAAUGCUUUAGUUAGGAAAAAGUACAUUAGUAACCUAAAGUGACUCAGAGUGAUAUUA